rnacentral:rRNA from 1 species
CGGUAACAGGAUCCAGCUUGCUGGAUGCUGACGAGCGGCGGACGGGUGAGUAAUGCAUAGGAAUCUGCCCGAUAGUGGGGGAUAACCUGGGGAAACCCAGGCUAAUACCGCAUACGUCCUACGGGAGAAAGGGGGCUCCGGCUCCCGCUAUGGGAUGAGCCUAUGUCGGAUUAGCUAGUUGGUGAGGUAACGGCUCACCAAGGCGACGAUCCGUAGCUGGUCUGAGAGGAUGAUCAGCCACAUCGGGACUGAGACACGGCCCGAACUCCUACGGGAGGCAGCAGUGGGGAAUAUUGGACAAUGGGCGAAAGCCUGAUCCAGCCAUGCCGCGUGUGUGAAGAAGGCCCUCGGGUUGUAAAGCACUUUCAGCGAGGAAGAACGCCUAGCGGUUAAUACCCGCUAGGAAAGACAUCACUCGCAGAAGAAGCACCGGCUAACUCCGUGCCAGCAGCCGCGGUAAUACGGAGGGUGCAAGCGUUAAUCGGAAUUACUGGGCGUAAAGCGCGCGUAGGUGGCUUGAUAAGCCGGUUGUGAAAGCCCCGGGGCUCAACCUGGGAACGGCAUCCGGAACUGUCAAGCUAGAGUGCAGGAGAGGAAGGGUAGAAUUCCCGGUGUAGCGGUGAAAUGCGUAGA